ACAAGCGAGGAAUUGGUGGAAUUGAAGUUACUUGACGGUAUUGUCACUAUUGUUAGUUAGAAAAUGUUGAAACAUCGACUUAGAUUUCAAGCACCAAGUUCUGCAAUUUUAUUGUUCUCCAUUUCAAUUGAUCUUGGAGUUUCACUUCAUAUGUGGAAGUGGAAAUUCGAGAAGACACCAACACACCUCCAAAGAAUAAAGAAGAUAAACAAAUCAUGGAAGAUCUGCUAUAUGGACUAGUAGCUCAAGUAUUUUAUAUGGUAUUAUUGUUAGCAGGAUUCGAAAAAGAAAGUCGUACCUGCAUGUAACGAAUAUGACAUUUUUAUUUCAUGGAUUGGCUGUGAACACAACAAAUCAUGGAAGAUGUUGCAUUGGAGGUUAAAGAGAAAGUAAGUCAGUAAUGUUGUUGGUUCUCUCUUUUUAUACAUUGCUCUGGGUGAUCUUUGCUUCUUCUCAAUUUGUUCUGUUAUACGGGUUAGUAGCUCAAGUGUUAUAUAUAUAUAUAUAUAUAUAUAUGGUAUUAUUGUUAGCAGAGCUCGAAAAAGAAAAUUGUAUAUUCAUGUAACGAAUAUGGUUUAUUAUUUCAUGGAUUUGCUGUGACAUGCAACAAAUCACGGAAGAUCUUGCAUCAGAGGAACAGAGGGAAAGUAAGUCAAUAUUGUUGUUGGUUCUCUCUUUCUAUACAUUAUUUUGGGUGGUCUUUGCUUCUUCUCAAUUUUUUUUCUGCUAUACCCAUUAGUAGCUCAAGUUUAUAUAUAUUAAGGAAUUCACAGUUGGCAUGAAAAAAGUUCACGCCUCAAGGGGCUUGAUGUAGAUAGUCUACCCAUUUUCAUAUUUGAAGUAAUUAUACAUUAAGCACCUUAUCUUAACAG